rnacentral:rRNA from 1 species
GACAGAGGGUGCGAACGUUGUUCGGAAUUACUGGGCGUAAAGCGCAUGUAGGCGGCAGCGCAAGUCGGGCGUGAAAUCCCACGGCUCAACCGUGGAAGUGCACUCGAAACUGCGCAGCUAGAGUCCUGGAGAGGAACGGUGGAAUGCUUGGGUGUAGAGGUGAAAUUCGUAGAUAUCAAGCGGAACACCGGUGGCGAAGGCGGC